AUUGAACGCUGGCGGCAGGCCUAACACAUGCAAGUCGAGCGGUAGAGAGGAGCUUGCUUCUCUCGAGAGCGGCGGACGGGUGAGUAAUGCCUAGGAAUCUGCCUGGUAGUGGGGGAUAACGUUCGGAAACGGACGCUAAUACCGCAUACGUCCUACGGGAGAAAGUGGGGGAUCUUCGGACCUCACGCUAUCAGAUGAGCCUAGGUCGGAUUAGCUAGUUGGUGAGGUAAAGGCUCACCAAGGUGACGAUCCGUAACUGGCCUGAGAGGAUGAUCAGUCACACUGGAACUGAGACACGGUCCAGACUCCUACGGGAGGCAGCAGUGGGGAGUAUUGGACAAUGGGCGCAAGCCUGAUCCAGCCAUGCCGCGUGUGUGAAGAAGGUCUUCGGAUUGUAAAGCACUUUAAGUUGGGAGGAAGGUCAGUAGCUUAAUACGUUGCUGAUUUGACGUUACCGACAGAAUAAGCACCGGCUAACUCUGUGCCAGCCGCCGCGGUAAAAC
rnacentral:rRNA from 1 species